UACGUAGGUGGCAAGCGUUGUCCGGAGUUAUUGGGCGUAAAGCGCGCGCAGGCGGUGCGGUAAGUCUCUGGUGAAAGCGCUCGGCUUAACUGGGCGAGGGCCGGGGAGACUGCCACGCUGGAGGGGAGCAGAGGCGAGUGGAAUUCCGGGUGUAGUGGUGAAAUGCGUAGAGAUCAGGAGGAAUACCGAUGGCGAAGGCAGGUCUCUGGGCUGACACUGACGCUCAUGCACGAAAGCGUGGGGAGCAAACAGG
rnacentral:rRNA from 1 species